GGUGUUUGCUCUGACAUGCACUGUCAACUGUGGGACCUUACAUAGACAGGCAUCCUCACACACAAACACUCACAGGCCAGCACAAAGGUUUGGUGGUAACAAGCAGAUAAAAGGCCCAUAAUGACAUGGCACCAGGUUAGAACAAACGUCAUGAACCGGUGGCUUCCAUCAUGUCUUCUGCCUCAGCGAACAACACAAGAGGCCAUGUCUCGUGCGGACCAUGUGACCGGAAUUGUAUUGAUCACUCAAUUUGUGGCCCUGGCUAUCCUGGGGCCGUCUGGUGUUAUCCCUGGAGGGCUGGCCCAGGAGGGGCUGGCCCAGGGCUCUGUCUGCUCCCCUGACAGGGCCAGCUCUGGGGGUGAAGAAUGGGGGAGGCGGGUGGUGUGACUAAGCAGAGUCUUGUUAGAGUGGGGCGGUGCGGACGGGAGGGGCGCAUCGCCAAGCCCUGUCCAAAAACAGGCUGCUGCUCGCUUUUUUACAUCCCACCAACUGUUCACAUUUCAACGCUCUGACCCUUUUUUCAUUUCUAUACAAUACAUCGUUAACAAAACAGUUUACAAACCACGGGUGAUACAUUAUCCACUCUGACUUCCCAGAUUUACUCAGACUAAUGGAUUAACCACUGAGCUGUGUAGAGUCCACACAUGACUAAUGCUCAAUAUCUCCUUUGUGUGGUAUUUGAAAACAAAUGCAAACUUACAGGUCGUAUCUGUAAUACUUGUGUGUAUAUUAUAAAUUAAGAGUUUUUUCCAAAAGUCUAUAUCCACCAAUUUUUCACAUUUGUUUUUUUAAUAAAAAAUGAUUGCUUUUGGGUACCUUCAUGUGUGUGUAAAAUAUUACUUUUCUCAGAUUUUGUAUUCAUAGAUUUGAGAUGUGUAUGAGUUUUUACUUAAUUUUUUGCAUAAUGCUACAUGUCCAUUGUUUAGAUGGAAUGGAAUGUUUGUAUCCUGUAUAUUUGAAUGUGAUAUGUGGUUGUCUUAAGGUGAAUGCACAAACUGUAAGUCACUCUGGAUAAGAGCAUCUGCUAAAUUACUCAAAUGUAAAAUGUAACUGUUUAACAUACAGAUCUCAUAUUACUGUAUAGAAUACCUUUUUUGUACACGUUGAUGUCACAAAUGUAUAAUUUGUACAGUUCUUUAUUAAAAAUGUAGUUAUUUGUUA